GAAUCAUAGUGCCAACACAACCACCAUAGCCUACAAGAGGACGUGAAACCUACCCGCCGGGAGAUCUCGUCGAAACCAUCUCGACAAGGGAUCUCGCCGGUAAUCUCGGAAUCGCCAGUUCUCUAUUGUAAUCUAUGGUCUUUCCAUAUUAAUCUCAUAUAAACUGGAUUAGGGCUAUUACCUUACGAGGGGCUUAAACCAGUAUAAUCCUUGUCUUCUUGUUUGCUUGAGGUCGUAUCGUGUAGAUCCUCAUACCAACGUACCCUAAUACCCUAUUCAUCCGGUCUAGGGUAUUCCCCAUCGACAGAGACAUCUUAAAUACGUAGUUUUCUAAUAAAUUUAAUACCAAGUCUAUAGUUUUAUGAUACAAUAUCUUCGAUCUUUCUCUCUCUCUCUAUAUAUAUUUGUGAUAGUUUGGUUAAAGAAUCUACAAUUUUGUGAAAUUUACUUGAAAAGACCCGUACAAAAGGAGAAACCUAACGAUAAUUUUAUUGAGAGUAAGAGUGUUAUGGAGAUUUGAGUAUGGGCCGCAGGCAGCACACUUACUACAUCUUGCCAUAUGGUGUAUGCACAAUUUUAAAAUUUGCUAGAGAAAUAAACUCGACCAACGGAGAAAUGACCACCCCAUGGCUUUUUGUUAAGAAGAAUAAACUUUUAACCAAACCGGUUGAGUAAAGCCACAAACCUAGGCCCCUGCUCCUACACGAGGGCCCAUCCUCUAUAGGUCAAAUUUUGACACGUAUUUUUAUAAGGAUCGGCAAGUGAAUUUUUUUUUCAGUGAUGCUACUUGAGCACGGUAACCAAUGGAUGCCAUUUCACAGAUAUUAGAUGAAGAGGCAUGGGGAAAACCCCAGUGUGAAUUUUAUUAAGGGGGUGUUUAGAUCCCACACUAAAAUUUUACACCAUAUCGCAUCGAACGUUUGAACACCUACAUGAAGUAUUAAAUAUAUGCUAACUAAUUGCACAUAGUGCGACUAAUUUGCGAGACGAAUCUUUUAAGCCUAUUGCUCCAUGAUUUGACAAUGUGGUGCUACAGUAAAUAUUUGCUAAUGACGGAUUAAUUAGGCUUAAUAAAUUCGUCUCGCGGUUUACCGACGGAUUCCGUAAUUAGUUUUUUUAUUAGCGCCCAAACACCCCAUACGACACCCUAUAUAAUACCCAAUGUGACACGCCAAAACUUUAUACCCCUAGAUAACACUCGCUAAGUUGGGUGAACGCAGUCGAGAAUAGAGUCGAACGAAGGCCGCGGUCAGCACAACGGCUGCAACUUUGCCAUUUGCUGAGUGCUGACGAUAUACUUAUAUGUUAUCUUCCUGAUGAAAUCUCCUAACCUGAUGCAAUGCAACAGCAGCCACCGUACCGCAUACAUUCUGGCAGUAAAUUAAAACAAACUGGCCGGUGAAGUGACGUAAUCUCUCCAUUAAAAAAACGACAAACCCUAAUUUUCUAUUCAACGUUUGACCGUCCGUUUUAUUUGAAAAAAAUAUAAAAAAAAAUUAAAAUGACAAGUCACACAUAAAAUAUUAAUCAUAUUUUAUUCUCUAACAAACCAUCGAAAUCCUAGCCAAUCUCGACGGCGAGCUUGGACAGCACAGCUGCGUGGCAGCGCUCGCGCCGCCGCGUGAGGUGCCCGUGCCAGCACGCGCCGGAACGUGGCCACCACCAGCUGCUCGAUCAGCGCCCCUAGCUUGGAGCUGACCUGCCCUAUGGCUGUUUAACUAUUCUCUCCUUAAUUUGCUAGCUGCUGAGGUAGCAUAUGCAGGAUUAUAUAUAGUGAGAUAUACGAUAACUAUAAACUUAUAUGAAAGAGAGAUAAAGAAAAGUGACGAGAGUUGGUUUUCAUGAUAGAACUAACUAUACACAUGUUUUAAGAUAUUUACGCUAAAUUCGUAGUGAGAAAGAAAGAUGAGAGAAAAAUUAAAUUGAGCCAACCUUAUAAGUUAAUUAAUCUACUGUAUAUGUUAGCUAUAACAUGAGAUAAUAGCUAUUAGUUAGCUAUACUAUUAAACUUCUCUGACGCUUCACAAGAUGAGGAAUAAAAACCAUGACAUCCAAUCAUGUGAUGCCAUAUAUUAGCCAAAGCCUGAAGUAGUCUCUCCUCCUCCCAACUUGCCCUAGCUUAGCUAGUCCUUUUCAAUUCCUCUGUCCUCUUUCUUUUAUGUUGUUGAGUGGUGUUAGCUGUGGCAGGGGAGGAGGAGGGAAUAUUUUUUAUUUUUUGCUACCUGGAGUUCAUCUUUCUCUUUAUUUAUUUUUUUCAAGUUGGUAUGUAUGCAUUGCUUCCGGUGGAGGUUCAUCUGUCUGUCUCUUUUCUAUGAUGAGAGCUUUAAUAUGAAGAGAUGUCAUGCAACCUGUUCUUUUUUUUUUUCAGGUUCAACCGUCGAUAGUGUGUCAUGCAUCGGGAGUAUGGUUCAACAACUUUCUAUUCAGAAGAUGCUUAUAUCGGCCAUGUUAAAUAAUUGUUACAAUUAAUAAUGCUCAAUCUCAUGCUUUUGAUUCAUAAUGUGUGAGUUUAAAUAGGGAAUGUAGAAAAUUGAACUGGUAACCAGUUCUAACAUGAAUCUUGCAUCCCUGCAUUACAAAUUAAAGGAGCUCAGGAUCGACCUUGAUAAGUCAGUAUGUAAGACCAAUUAUGUACAAAUGCAAAGUCAGAGAAUAAUUGAAUGUCUAUACAAUUCA
rnacentral:lncRNA from 1 species